rnacentral:rRNA from 1 species
GACGAACCGUGCGAACGUUAUUCGGAAUCACUGGGCUUAAAGCGCGUGUAGGCGGAAGGGCACGUCUGUCGCUGAAAUCCCCCGGCUCAACCGGGGAACGGGCACAGAUACGACUCUUCUGGAGGAACGUAGGGGGACCUGGAACUUCCGGUGGAGCGGUGAAAUGCGUUGAGAUCGGAAGGAACGCCCGUGGCGAAAGCGAGGUCCUGGACGUUGACUGACGCUGAGACGCGAAAGCCAGGGGAGCGAACGGG